UGAGGAAUAUUGGUCAAUGGGCGAGAGCCUGAACCAGCCAAGUCGCGUGAGGGAGUACUGCCCUAUGGGUUGUAAACCUCUUUUGUCGGGGAGCAAAAGCCGGACGUGUCCGGCUGUGAGAGUACCCGAAGAAAAAGCAUCGGCUAACUCCGUGCCAGCAGCCGCGGUAAUACGGAGGAUGCGAGCGUUAUCCGGAUUUAUUGGGUUUAAAGGGUGCGCAGGCGGAUUUUUUAAGUCAGCGGUCAAAUCGUGGGGCUCAACCCCAUCCAGCCGUUGAAACUGGCUGGCUUGAGUUGGGGAAAG
rnacentral:rRNA from 1 species